AUUGAACGCUGGCGGCAGGCCUAACACAUGCAAGUCGAACGAGUGGCGGACGGGUGAGUAAUGUCUGGGAAACUGCCCGAUGGAGGGGGAUAACUACUGGAAACGGUAGCUAAUACCGCAUACCAUCGGAUGUGCCCAGAUGGGAUUAGCUAGUGGGUGGGGUAACGGCUCACCCGGGCGACGCCCCCUAGCUGGUCUGAGAGGAUGACCGGCCAACCUGGAAGUGAGAGACGGUCCAGACUCCUACGGGAGGCAGCAGUGGGGAAUAUUGCACAAUGGGCGCAAGCCUGAUGCAGCCAUGCCGCGUGUAUGAGGAAGGCCUUCGGGUUGUAAAGUACUUUCAGCGAGGAGGCGUUACUCGCGGAAGAAGCGCCGGCUAACUCCGUGCCAGCAGCCGCGGUAGUUC
rnacentral:rRNA from 1 species